UGGUACUAGCUGUCAUGGACUCUUUCUGCC
rnacentral:piRNA from 1 species